rnacentral:rRNA from 1 species
AUUGAACGCUGGCGGCAUGCCUUACACAUGCAAGUCGAACGGUAACGGGCCUUCGGGUGCCGACGAGUGGCGAACGGGUGAGUAAUACAUCGGAACGUGCCCGAUCGUGGGGGAUAACGAGGCGAAAGCUUUGCUAAUACCGCAUACGAUCUACGGAUGAAAGCAGGGGACCGCAAGGCCUUGCGCGGACGGAGCGGCCGAUGGCAGAUUAGGUAGUUGGUGGGAUAAAAGCUUACCAAGCCGACGAUCUGUAGCUGGUCUGAGAGGAUGAUCAGCCACACUGGGACUGAGACACGGCCCAGACUCCUACGGGAGGCAGUAGUGGGGAAUUUUGGACAAUGGGCGCAAGCCUGAUCCAGCCAUGCCGCGUGCAGGAUGAAGGCCUUCGGGUUGUAAACUGCUUUUGUACGGAACGAAAAGCCUUCUUUUAAUACAGGAGGGUCAUGACGGUACCGUAAGAAUAAGCACCGGCUAACUACGUG